rnacentral:other from 1 species
UUGCCUCUGCAGUGUUCGUUACGUUGCGAUCCUUUUGACGAACCGAUAAGAACUCGAUUGGGAGCCUAUUAUCUCGUUCGGUGCUUGCAAGCCCACCUAGUGGGAUCCAAAAUCCAAACGUGCGGCUCCCCCGAAUUAAUGCGGGUUCUCGAAAGCGCACCAAACGGCACAGGCGGAGGUUUU